UCCGGUUUGUCACCGGCAGUCUCGCAUGAGUCCCCAACUAAAUGCUGGCAACAUGCGACGGGGGUUGCGCUCGUUGCGGGACUUAACCCAACAUCUCACGACACGAGCUGACGACAGCCAUGCACCACCUGUGAGGGUCCGGCCGAACCGACCCCGUGUUUCCACGGCUUCACCCCGCAUGUCAAGCCCUGGUAAGGUUCUUCGCGUCGCGUCGAAUUAAGCCACAUGCUCCGCCGCUUGUGCGGGCCCCCGUCAAUUCCUUUGAGUUUCAGUCUUGCGACCGUACUCCCCAGGCGGAGUGCUUAAUGUGUUGACUUCGGCACAGCAGAGGUCAAUACCCACUACACCAAGCACUCAUCAUUUACGGCGUGGACUAC
rnacentral:misc_RNA from 1 species